AUUGAACGCUGGCGGCAGGCUUAACACAUGCAAGUCGAGCGAGCGGCGGACGGGUGAGUAAUGUCUGGGAAACUGCCUGAUGGCGGUGGAUAACUACUGGAAACGGUAGCUAAUACCGCAUACUAUCAGAUGUGCCCAGAUGGGAUUAGCUAGUAGGUGGGGUAAUGGCUCACCUUGGCGACGCUCCCUAGCUGGUCUGAGAGGAUGACCAGCCACACUGGAACUGAGACACGGUCCAGAGGCCUAGGGGAGGCAGCAGUGGGGAAUAUGGCACAAUGGGCGCAAGCCUGAUGCAGCCAUGCAGCGUGGGUGAAGAAGGCAUUCGGGUUGUAAAGCACUUUCAGCGAGGAGGCGUUACUCGCAGAAGAAGCACCGGCUAACUACGUGCCAGCAGCCGCGGUAAUUC
rnacentral:rRNA from 1 species